CACGUAGGGCGCAAGCGUUGUCCGGAAUUAUUGGGCGUAAAGAGCUCGUAGGUGGUUUGUUACGUCUGCUGUGAAAACCUAGGGCUUAACCCUGGGCUUGCAGUGGAUACGGGGCAGACUAGAGGUAGGUAGGGGAGAAUGGAAUUCCAGGUGUAGCGGUGAAAUGCGUAGAUAUCUGGAGGAACACCGGUGGCGAAGGCGGCAUCCUGGACCAAUUCUGACGCUGAGGAGCGAAAGCCAGGGGAGCAAACGGG
rnacentral:rRNA from 1 species